AGCGAUCCUAAGGAAGCUUGAGGCAAUAACAGGUCUGUGAUGCCCUUAGAUGUCCUGGGCCGCACGCGCGCUACAAUGACUCACUCAGAAAGUAUUUCCUGGCCCGGAAGGGUUCAGGGUAAUCUUCAUAAUAUGAGUCGUGUUAGGGAUCGAUCUUUGCAAUUAUAGAUCUUGAACGAGGAAUGCCUAGUAAGUGCAAGUCAUCAGCUUGUACUGAUUACGUCCCUGCCCUUUGUACACACCGCCCG
rnacentral:rRNA from 1 species